AUUGAACGCUGGCGGCAUGCCUUACACAUGCAAGUCGAACGGUAACGGGUCCUUCGGGAUGCCGACGAGUGGCGAACGGGUGAGUAAUAUAUCGGAACGUGCCCAGUAGUGGGGGAUAACUGCUCGAAAGAGCAGCUAAUACCGCAUACGACCUGAGGGUGAAAGGGGGGGAUCGCAAGACCUCUCGCUAUUGGAGCGGCCGAUAUCAGAUUAGCUAGUUGGGGGGGUAAAGGCCUACCAAGGCAACGAUCUGUAGUUGGUCUGAGAGGACGACCAGCCACACUGGGACUGAGACACGGCCCAGACUCCUACGGGAGGCGGCAGUGGGGAAUUUUGGACAAUGGGCGCAAGCCUGAUCCAGCAAUGCCGCGUGCAGGAAGAAGGCCUUCGGGUUGUAAACUGCUUUUGUCAGGGAAGAAAUCCUUUGGGCUAAUACCUCGGAGGGAUGACGGUACCUGAAGAAUAAGCAACGGCUAACUACGUGCCAGCCGCCGCGGUAA
rnacentral:rRNA from 1 species